rnacentral:lncRNA from 1 species
CUAAGACUAAGUGCAAUGGUGGGUGUUUAAAACACCCUCCACAUCAUCUUCUCUCUCUUCCACAUAAUACCUCAACACCUCAUUCAACUUUUACCACUCCAAUAGUUUUUGUUUUAAACACUCUAUCCCACCACUUUAUCUACCCCACCACUUUUUAUUUCAUAUUCUUAUUUAAAUUUAUAUUUAUGUUUUUAUCAUUUUGCAUAAAAUUAUAAUUAUCGAUUAAUAUUAAAUUACAAUUAUACGAUAAAAAUAAUCAAUUAAAAUUAAUUGAUUAGCAGCUGUCAUGCCACCAAUAGUCAGUUGUGUUGAAAAUUCGGGAAAUUCAGGGGGUG